CACACACACACUUCACGCAUAACACCAUUUUCUUUGGUGUUGGAGCUUUUGACCUCCGAUUUGAGCACCGAGACGAGCGUCGAUCAUCUUUUCGAUCACGUAUCUAAGUAGGUCCUUUUGGGAAGUAACGACUUGAGGGAGAGAGUGACGUUACUCAUUGAUACAGAGACACAACGAGGUUGAGCUGAUGUGAUGAUGGUGCUGCAAUGAGCGGAGUCUCCAGGGUUGUUAAUAAAUAGUUAACCUGUCUAGAAUAUGUCUUCAUACAUAUGUCUAGCUACUUUCCGCUGCAAGAUGUUGUUGAUGUUAUAGUAUGUUAUGUCAUACUUUGAGUCUUAAGAGAAUGGUUUCAUACGAUGUAUAACUUGAUUAAUGAUAUUAAUUAAGUUUUAUGCUGUCUUUCAUAGACUGUUUUCAAUUGAGUAUUAAUGAAUAAAAAUGACGAGUUU